rnacentral:rRNA from 1 species
GAGGUAGUGACAAGAAAUAACAAUACGGGGCUUAAUGUCUUGUAAUUGGAAUGAUGGGAAUUUAAACCUCUUCCAGAGUAUCAAUUGGAGGGCAAGUCUGGUGCCAGCAGCCGCGGUAAUUCCAGCUCCAAUAGCGUAUAUUAAAAUUGUUGCAGUUAAAAAGCUCGUAGUUGAAUUUCUGCUGCAUUUCAUUUCUCUUUCUGAGUUUGUUUUUGCGGCUUAUUUCGGUUUGAUUUUUUCUUUCCGGAUGAUUACUUUGAGAAAAUUAGAGUGCUCAAAGCAGGCUUUUGCCUUGAAUAGUUUAGCAUGGAAUAAUAAAGUAGGACUUUGGUUCUAUUUUGUUGGUUUUAGGUACCAAAGUAAUGGUUAAUAGGAACUAGUUGGGGGUAUUCGUAUUUAACUGUCAGAGGUGAAAUUCU